ACUCUCUCUCUCCUAAACUCCCUGCUUCUUCCUCUCUCCUCAAACCCGAUCCAGUUUCUGCCUCUCUCUCCUCAACCUCACCGCUCAAAUUUUCCUCCGGCAAGGUUCUUGCAAAAAAUUCGGUUUGUAAAUGAGGUUUCGACAACGGAAGAGGGAGAAUCGGGGUCGUAGAAGAGGUGGAGGAGGGUGUCGGAGGUGGAAGCGUCAUUGAAACCGCCGGCGUCGCACCCUUGCUACUGUCGCAAUCGAAGCAUCUAUUUCGAAAUCCUUGGAAAGGGAAGCUUGACGGCGGAGGUUUCUGGAGAAACUAAAUUGACGGCGGCGAGGUGGAGGAAGGAGGCGGGACUGUUAGUCGGAGUUCUCCUUGUUUGGAUCAUUGGCUAAUGUGGGAGCAAUGGUUGGUGCAAUUGCUAGUGGUCAGAUUUCUAAAUACAUUGGGCGCAAAGGGUCACUGAUGAUUGCUUCAAUCCCAAAUAUCAUUGGAUGGUUGGUCGUAUCAUUUUCGAGAGAUACCUCAUUUCUGUACAUGGGGCGAUUGGUUGGUUGGUUUUGGUGGUUUAGUUAUGCUGUUCAUUGAAAUCAUCAAUAAGUAUCUCUAUUUUUUUGAGAAGGGAAACAACCAAAUCACCGUCAAUACAAUCCAGGAUCUAAUGGAAUUAAUUACUACAGAGAUGCAAAGUGAUAAUGCGGCAACAGAUUCUGCUGCUGAAGCUUUCUUUGCAAGCACAUUGCGGUACAUCCAAUUCCAGAAACAAAAAGGUGGCGCAGUUAGUGAGAAAUAUGAACCUAAUGAGAACUGAAAAGUUAAAACUUGAGAAAGGGAAACAAACUCGGUAACAAUUGCUCUUCAAUCCGCUAAACUUGUGAGAAUUGUCGCCUUUGAUCUUGCUCUUGGGACUCUUGAAUGGUUCCCUCAUUUGUCUUUGAAUACGCUGACGCUGACGCUGCGUGCUACGUGUGUCAUGGGAAGUUGCUUAUCCAAGCAUGAUCUCAACUCUCAAAUUGAUUUGGUAAUUGAAAUUUUGAAGCGUCCAGGAGAAGUCCUCCCUGUUUGUCUUAGUGUCGCACGAACGCUGUAAAUUCAUAAUUUAGUGUGCUUCAAUUUUAAUUUCUCGGCUUUUUUUUUCUCGGUUCAAAUUUUUAUUUUUAUUUCAUAUUGUAAUUUGUUUGAUUUUGGUCUGACAAUGGAGUUUUUUUCAUCUGCUUGAAUGAUA